UACGGAUUCGACAGGGGUAGUUUGAGCUUAGGUUGCGAGUCGAGGGGAUCGGCCUCGUUAAAACGUCAAAGCCAUAACUGGCAAAACUAACAACAACUUAGCUUUCGCAGCUUAAUAACUGCAUAGCUGUUCGCCCCUCCAUCGCCUAUGUGGUAGGGUAGCGGACUCACUCUUAGUAGGCUACGCCGGAGUCCACCGCCUGAGGACAAAGGAAGAGAACAACCAGGCUAGCUGACCGGACGCCUGUCGAUAGGCAGAUGGAUCAGCGAAGCGCGAAUAUGUCGACUACACUCGUAGAAGCUUAAGUGCCAAUAUCUUUGGACGCGGGUUCGAUUA
rnacentral:tmRNA from 1 species